GGGGGGGCCUUGCUCGGUAACCGUGGCAACGCCAACAGCGGCGGGAGGCCAGCCCAGCCGGCAAAGAGGCGCCUGCACCCCGGAUCCCAGCGCCGCCACGGCCCCUGGAGCGCAGACGCUGCCUCACGUCCUCUCAAGUCCGUGUCUUUAAAAACACAGUCUCCGCCUCCCUCCUGGAAAUGGAGAGCGGCUCGCACCUGUCACAAAUAGCAGGCGGGCGGCGAAAACCCGCGGGAUGGAAACAAAACGUGGCUCUGACAAGUUCUGCAGAAGAGAUACCUGUUGAACAAUUUCCCAGAUGAGCGUGAGCAUAAACUCUUUAUCCACAGCAGUUUCCUGGACACAAUUUUGGAGGCCUCUCAUCAUACCGCUGCCCUCUCUUGGUCUGCUCUUGUAUCCAGACUGCAACAUGAGACAGAGAAAGGCCAAGAAAACUAACAAUGAAAUAAAAAUUAACAGUCACAAUUAUUAUUCCUACAAAAGCACAUUUAUUGGCUUAUGUAUCUGGAAAGUCCAAACUGCCUGCUUUCAGGCAUGGCUGGAUCCAGGAGCUGGAAUGAUGCUAUCGAUGCUCCUUUAAACACACGUGCCUUUACUGUUGACAUAUAAAUUUGCAAAAAUGUAUGUAUGUUUUGACACGUGUGUAUUUGCGUGAAACCAUCACCCAAAUCGAGUACAGCAUCCCCCCAAACUCUCCUGAUGCCCCCCUUUAUAAUACCUUUCCAGCACAUGAAGAAACCAUUGCAGGACAUGUACUUGGAGAGCAUGAAACCGGGUGGCUUGGUCAGGGCUCUGUUUCUUUGUGAGCAAAUGGGCUUAAACACGUCUAAGCAAAACCAGCACGUGAACGGGUUCCAGCGACGGCAAAGUCCCCGGUUCCCAAUUUCAGGCAAAGCCUGGAUCCGCGAGUUGAGAUGGUGUUGUCAUUGGAAGCCGGUCACUUCUGUGUCUCAGCUUGACUUUCCUCUGAGUGGGCUUCACUCACAGGUCAGGCAUCCCAUUCACGGAAUAAACAGAGACCCCAGGCUCCAAGCUUUUUUCUCU